rnacentral:lncRNA from 1 species
AUGAAGCCUAUGGUUGACAGUAGCGGUGGCGGCGGCCCGUCGUUCUCUGGCCAUUCACUGUCGUCGCCCGACGCCGAAAGCGCGAAGCCCGAGCCUCCGCACGACAGCGACGCAAGGGCGUCGUUGGAGCAAGUCACUGUCGACCACACCAAGCCGCCCGACUCUGGAAGCGCGAAGCCGGUCACCGUCGACCACAAGUCGGCAACAUCCGAUUCUUCUACCGGCACGGAGUCUGACGGUGGAGGCGAGCCAUCGUCGGCGUCAUCCUCGCUGCCGGCGGCGGCGCACCCGUUCGGGCGCGCGCUCGCGGUGGUCGACGCGGAUGAACUUGCAACGAACGAAGAAGGGUCGAAGAUUGAUGGAGGACAGAAACCACCUGUCCCGACAAAUUUUGCAAAGUUUGUUGGUCGAUCUGUGACGUCUGGGUUGGAUGAUGCAUGCAUGGUUUCAGUGAUAGAUCGUGCGUUUUCUGCUUGGCAAGACGAGAGUAAAUUC